rnacentral:piRNA from 1 species
UACUGUGUAUAAACACAUUUCCCUUGUCA